rnacentral:rRNA from 1 species
CAUGCAGUCUCUUGAUCCUUCGGGUGAAGGUGGCGGACGGGUGAGUAACGCGUAAAGAACUUGCCUUACAGACUGGGACAACAUUUGGAAACGAAUGCUAAUACCGGAUAUUAUGACUGAGUCGCAUGAUUUGGUUAUGAAAGCUAUAUGCGCUGUGAGAGAGCUUUGCGUCCCAUUAGUUAGUUGGUGAGGUAACGGCUCACCAAGACGAUGAUGGGUAGCCGGCCUGAGAGGGUGAACGGCCACAAGGGGACUGAGACACGGCCCUUACUCCUACGGGAGGCAGCAGUGGGGAAUAUUGGACAAUGGACCAAAAGUCUGAUCCAGCAAUUCUGUGUGCACGAUGAAGUUUUUCGGAAUGUAAAAGUGCUUUCAGUUGGGAAAGAAGUCAGUGACGGUACCAACAGAAGAAGCGACGGCUAAAUACGUGCCAGCAGCCGCGGUAAUACGUAUGUCGCAAGCGUUAUCCGGAUUUAUUGGGGUUAAAGCGCGUCUAGGCGGUUUAGUAAGUCUGAUGUGAAAAUGCGGGGCUCAACCCCGUAUUGCGUUUGGAAACUGCUAAAACUAGAGUACUGGAGAGGUAGGCGGAACUACAAGUGUAGAGGUGAAAUUCGUAGAUAUUUGUAGGAAUGCCGAUGGGGAAGCCAGCCUACUGGACAGAUACUGACGCUAAAGCGCGAAAGCGUGGGUAGCAAACAGGAUUAGAUACCCUGGUAGUCCACGCCGUAAACGAUGAUUACUAGGUGUUGGGGGUCGAACCUCAGCGCCCAAGCUAACGCGAUAAGUAAUCCGCCUGGGGAGUACGUACGCAAGUAUGAAACUCAAAGGAAUUGACGGGGACCCGCACAAGCGGUGGAGCAUGUGGUUUAAUUCGACGCAACGCGAGGAACCUUACCAGCGUUUGACAUCCCAAGAAGUUAACAGAGAUGUUUUUCGUGCCUCUUCGGAGGAACUUGGUGACAGGUGGUGCAUGGCUUGUCGUCAGCUCGUGUCGUGAGAUGUUGGGUUAAGUCCCGCAACGAGCGCAACCCCUUUCGUAUGUUACCAUCAUUAAGUUGGGGACUCAUGCGAGACUGCCUGCGAUGAGCAGGAGGAAGGUGGGGAUGACGUCAAGUCAUCAUGCCCCUUAUACGCUGGGCUACACACGUGCUACAAUGGGUAGUACAGAGAGCUGCAAACCUGCGAGGGUAAGCUAAUCUCAUAAAACUAUUCUUAGUUCGGAUUGUACUCUGCAACUCGAGUACAUGAAGUUGGAAUCGCUAGUAAUCGCAAAUCAGCUAUGUUGCGGUGAAUACGUUCUCGGGUCUUGUACACACCGCCCGUCACACCACGAGAGUUGGUUGCACCUGAAGUAACAGGCCUAACCCGUAAGGAGGGAU